AUUGAACGCUGGCGGCAUGCCUUACACAUGCAAGUCGAACGGCAGCACGGGAGCAAUCCUGGUGGCGAGUGGCGAACGGGUGAGUAAUAUAUCGGAACGUACCUUUCAGUGGGGGAUAACGUAGCGAAAGCUACGCUAAUACCGCAUAUUCUGUGAGCAGGAAAGCAGGGGAUCGCAAGACCUUGCGCUGAUUGAGCGGCCGAUAUCAGAUUAACUAGUUGGUGAGGUAAAGGCUCACCAAGGCGACGAUCUGUAGCGGGUCUGAGAGGAUGAUCCGCCACACUGGAACUGAGACACGGUCCAGACUCCUACGGGAGGCAGCAGUGGGGAAUUUUGGACAAUGGGCGCAAGCCUGAUCCAGCCAUGCCGCGUGAGUGAAGAAGGCCUC
rnacentral:rRNA from 1 species